ensembl:lncRNA
GUUUGGGGUUUGAAUGUGGAGGCAGUUCUGAUUUCCCACUGAUUUUGCCCACCAAACCCAAAAUUAUCCUGCUUACGUAUCUCAGGAAGCGUGUUAGUGGUCUGCAUAUCUACUGCAGCUCUGGGGACCUCAGUGCCACAGGUCUCUGAAGGCCACAGUGCUCCAGCUCUGGUCCGGUCCCACAGCUCCUUGGGGAGUCUGUGGUUCUCAGUGCUGACCAUGAAGAAUGAGCAGUACCACAUCACAUGGCACAAGGAGGAAACAUCCACACACCCCC